GGCAUGGCAGACUGAGCGCGUUCACCCGGGCGGUGCAGGACAGGAAACCGGUGCGAUUCCGGUGCGGUCCCGCCACUGUGACCGGCCCCUCGCGGGGCCGGGAGUCAGACACUGACGCGCCGCCUCUUCACGUC
rnacentral:ncRNA from 2 species